UUAACCAAUCUUCUAGAUUCUGUGGAGGGGCAAAAAAGCAUUUUAGAAUAGUUCUGAUUUGAUUUUAAAGGCCUCAUAGGUUUUCAUAGAUGCUGUUAAUGAAGCUUACGUUUAUUUCUGAUGUUUUUAAAGUAGAUGUGGAUUCUAACAAAACAAGUAUUGAAAUGAUUGAGUCCUUUGAAUUUUUAGGUAAGAAACCUAGGACCAAAGCACCCAAGAUUCAGCGUCUUGUUACUCCACGUGUCCUGCAGCACAAACGGCGGCGUAUUGCUCUGAAGAAGCAGCGUACCAAGAAAAAUAAAGAAGAGGCUGCAGAAUAUGCUAAACUUUUGGCCAAGAGAAUGAAGGAGGCUAAGGAGAAGCGCCAGGAACAAAUUGCGAAGAGACGCAGACUUUCCUCUCUGCGAGCUUCUACUUCUAAGUCUGAAUCCAGUCAGAAAUAAGAUUUUUUGAGUAACAAAUAAAUAAGAUCAGACUCGGA
rnacentral:sRNA from 1 species